GGUCAAGUGAAGAAGCGCAUACGGUGGAUGCCUUGGCAGUCAGAGGCGAUGAAAGACGUGGUAGCCUGCGAAAAGCUUCGGGGAGUCGGCAAACAGACUUUGAUCCGGAGAUGUCUGAAUGGGGGAACCCAGCCAUCAUAAGAUGGUUAUCUUACACUGAAUACAUAGGUGUAAGAGGCGAACCAGGGGAACUGAAACAUCUAAGUACCCUGAGGAAAAGAAAUCAACCGAGAUUCCCUUAGUAGUGGCGAGCGAACGGGGACUAGCCCUUAAGUGGCUUUGAGAUUAGCGGAACGCUCUGGAAAGUGCGGCCAUAGUGGGUGAUAGCCCUGUACGCGAAAAUCUCUUAGUCAUGAAAUCGAGUAGGACGGGGCACGAGAAACCUUGUCUGAAUAUGGGGGGACCAUCCUCCAAGGCUAAAUACUACUGACUGACCGAUAGUGAACUAGUACCGUGAGGGAAAGGCGAAAAGAACCCCGGAGAGGGGAGUGAAAUAGAUCCUGAAACCGUAUGCGUACAAGCAGUGGGAGCAGACUUUGUUCUGUGACUGCGUACCUUUUGUAUAAUGGGUCAGCGACUUAUUUUCAGUGGCGAGCUUAACCGAAUAGGGGAGGCGUAGCGAAAGCGAGUCUUAAUAGGGCGUCUAGUCGCUGGGAAUAGACCCGAAACCGGGCGAUCUAUCCAUGGGCAGGUUGAAGGUUAGGUAACACUGACUGGAGGACCGAACCGACUACCGUUGAAAAGUUAGCGGAUGACCUGUGGAUCGGAGUGAAAGGCUAAUCAAGCUCGGAGAUAGCUGGUUCUCCUCGAAAGCUAUUUAGGUAGCGCCUCAUGUAUCACUGUAGGGGGUAGAGCACUGUUUCGGCUAGGGGGUCAUCCCGACUUACCAAACCGAUGCAAACUCCGAAUACCUACAAGUGCCGAGCAUGGGAGACACACGGCGGGUGCUAACGUCCGUCGUGAAAAGGGAAACAACCCAGACCGUCAGCUAAGGUCCCAAAGUUAUGGUUAAGUGGGAAACGAUGUGGGAAGGCUUAGACAGCUAGGAGGUUGGCUUAGAAGCAGCCACCCUUUAAAGAAAGCGUAAUAGCUCACUAGUCGAGUCGGCCUGCGCGGAAGAUGUAACGGGGCUCAAACCAUACACCGAAGCUACGGGUAUCACUUAGGUGAUGCGGUAGAGGAGCGUUCUGUAAGCCUGUGAAGGUGAGUUGAGAAGCUUGCUGGAGGUAUCAGAAGUGCGAAUGCUGACAUGAGUAACGACAAUGGGUGUGAAAAACACCCACGCCGAAAGACCAAGGUUUCCUGCGCAACGUUAAUCGACGCAGGGUUAGUCGGUCCCUAAGGCGAGGCUGAAAAGCGUAGUCGAUGGAAAACAGGUUAAUAUUCCUGUACUUCUGGUUAUUGCGAUGGAGGGACGGAGAAGGCUAGGCCAGCUUGGCGUUGGUUGUCCAAGUUUAAGGUGGUAGGCUGGAAUCUUAGGUAAAUCCGGGAUUCUAAGGCCGAGAGCUGAUGACGAGUGUUCUUUUAGAACACGAAGUGGUUGAUGCCAUGCUUCCAAGAAAAGCUUCUAAGCUUCAGGUAACCAGGAACCGUACCCCAAACCGACACAGGUGGUUGGGUAGAGAAUACCAAGGCGCUUGAGAGAACUCGGGUGAAGGAACUAGGCAAAAUGGCACCGUAACUUCGGGAGAAGGUGCGCCGGUGAGGGUGAAGGACUUGCUCCGUAAGCUCAUGCCGGUCGAAGAUACCAGGCCGCUGCGACUGUUUAUUAAAAACACAGCACUCUGCAAACACGAAAGUGGACGUAUAGGGUGUGACGCCUGCCCGGUGCCGGAAGGUUAAUUGAUGGGGUUAGCUAACGCGAAGCUCUUGAUCGAAGCCCCGGUAAACGGCGGCCGUAACUAUAACGGUCCUAAGGUAGCGAAAUUCCUUGUCGGGUAAGUUCCGACCUGCACGAAUGGCGUAACGAUGGCGGCGCUGUCUCCACCCGAGACUCAGUGAAAUUGAAAUCGCUGUGAAGAUGCAGUGUAUCCGCGGCUAGACGGAAAGACCCCGUGAACCUUUACUAUAGCUUUGCACUGGACUUUGAAUUUGCUUGUGUAGGAUAGGUGGGAGGCUUUGAAGCGUGGACGCCAGUCUGCGUGGAGCCAUCCUUGAAAUACCACCCUGGCAACUUUGAGGUUCUAACUCAGGUCCGUUAUCCGGAUCGAGGACAGUGUAUGGUGGGUAGUUUGACUGGGGCGGUCUCCUCCUAAAGAGUAACGGAGGAGUACGAAGGUGCGCUCAGACCGGUCGGAAAUCGGUCGUAGAGUAUAAAGGCAAAAGCGCGCUUGACUGCGAGACAGACACGUCGAGCAGGUACGAAAGUAGGUCUUAGUGAUCCGGUGGUUCUGUAUGGAAGGGCCAUCGCUCAACGGAUAAAAGGUACUCCGGGGAUAACAGGCUGAUACCGCCCAAGAGUUCAUAUCGACGGCGGUGUUUGGCACCUCGAUGUCGGCUCAUCACAUCCUGGGGCUGAAGCCGGUCCCAAGGGUAUGGCUGUUCGCCAUUUAAAGUGGUACGCGAGCUGGGUUUAGAACGUCGUGAGACAGUUCGGUCCCUAUCUGCCGUGGACGUUUGAGAUUUGAGAGGGGCUGCUCCUAGUACGAGAGGACCGGAGUGGACGAACCUCUGGUGUUCCGGUUGUCACGCCAGUGGCAUUGCCGGGUAGCUAUGUUCGGAAAAGAUAACCGCUGAAAGCAUCUAAGCGGGAAACUUGCCUCAAGAUGAGAUCUCACUGGAACCUUGAGUUCCCUGAAGGGCCGUCGAAGACUACGACGUUGAUAGGUUGGGUGUGUAAGCGCUGUGAGGCGUUGAGCUAACCAAUACUAAUUGCCCGUGAGGCUUGACCAU
rnacentral:rRNA from 1 species